rnacentral:rRNA from 1 species
AUUGAACGCUGGCGGCAGGCCUAACACCUGCAAGUCGAGCGAGCGGCGGACGGGUGAGUAAUGUAUGGGGACUGCCCGAUAGAGGGGGAUAACUCCUGCAAACGGUAGCUAAUACCACAUACUAUCGGAUAACCCAUAUGGGAUUAGCUAGUAGGUGAGGUAAUUGCUCACCUAGGCGACGAUCCCUAGCUGGUCUGAGAGGAUUAUCAGCCACACUGGGACUGAGAAACGGCCCAGACGCCUACGGAGGCAGCAGUGGGGAAUAUUGCACAAUGGGCGCAAGUCUGAUGCAGCCAUGCCGCGUGUAUGAAGAAGGCCCUAGGGUUCUAAAGUACUUUCAGUCGGGAGGCGUUACCGACAGAAGAAGCACCGGCUAACUCCGUGCCAGCAGCCGCGGUAAUUC